rnacentral:lncRNA from 1 species
AUGAUAUAUGUCUAAGUGGAAUUCUGAGGGAGAUAAGCUUUCUUGCUUUCAGAUUGUCUGGUUUUUCAGUCCUUGUUAAUUCAUUCUCCAACAUUUUCGUUGGGCUCAAAUACCUAUUUAAGGUAUUUUCAGAAAGCGCAGCCUCCCUAGUAGGGUUAAUAAAGAGUAGGCCGCGGAUUUCUGACCUCUAAGCCAGAACUAUAUGGGGGGGAAACCCAUCCCGCACCAAUGCUGCUUCCAUCUUUUUUUCCAGCAGCAUUUGUUUCUCCAAAAUACCCAAAAAGGGCGGGAGGUGCCUGGCCUCGUUCCUACCAAUGAAAUAGAGCGACAAUCGCUGUUGAAGCUCUACCCUCCUUUGGAUAUCAGGAAGGAGAGGUUGCUCUAAUUCCGGAACGAGGACCUCGCGUGGAAUGGGCGCAACCUCGGGCUCGGGAAGGCGCGGUUCUGGUUCUCUCGGA